CCCUGGAUAGCUCAGUUGGUUAGAGGGUGCUGUAGAUAACGUCAAGGUUGCAGGUUUGAUUCCUGAAUUGCAGGGA